rnacentral:rRNA from 1 species
GACGAACGCUGGCGGCGUGCUUAACACAUGCAAGUCGAACGAAGAGCGAUGGAAGCUUGCUUCUAUCAAUCUUAGUGGCGAACGGGUGAGUAACGCGUAAUCAACCUGCCCUUCAGAGGGGGACAACAGUUGGAAACGACUGCUAAUACCGCAUACGAUCUAAUCUCGGCAUCGAGGAUAGAUGAAAGGUGGCCUCUACAUGUAAGCUAUCACUGAAGGAGGGGAUUGCGUCUGAUUAGCUAGUUGGAGGGGUAACGGCCCACCAAGGCGAUGAUCAGUAGCCGGUCUGAGAGGAUGAACGGCCACAUUGGUACUGAGACACGGCCCAGACUCCUACGGGAGGCAGCAGUGGGGAAUCUUCCGCAAUGGACGAAAGUCUGACGGAGCAACGCCGCGUGAGUGAUGACGGCCUUCGGGUUGUAAAGCUCUGUUAAUCGGGACGAAAGGCCUUCUUGCGAAUAGUGAGAAGGAUUGACGGUACCGGAAUAGAAAGCCACGGCUAACUACGUG